rnacentral:sRNA from 1 species
CGAAGAGCGCAGCCGCCGAGCCCGAGGACCUGCCCCGCGGCCGGGGGAUGCUGCCCAUCCCAGUGGCGGCUGCCAAGGAGACGGUUGCUAUUGGCAGAACAGACAUUGAAGACUUAGACCUCUAUGCCACAUCUCGGGAGAGGCGAUUUCGUUUAUUUGCUUCUAUAGAAUGUGAAGGGCAGUUAUUCAUGACUCCAUAUGAUUUUAUUUUGGCUGUUACAACAGAUGAGCCCAAAGGAAUUAAAUCAAAUGCUCGCAGAAACACCACCAGUUUGGAAAGGCUCAUCAAAGCUAUUUCGAAAUCUUAAAGAAAGAG